rnacentral:ncRNA from 2 species
CUUGCGCGUUCGGGGUAUCGGCCUUUCAGGGGCCGGUUGAGAAACACCCGUCGCACCGGAUCAGGUUCAGACCUGCGUCGGGAAACGCUGCGGACAAAUC